rnacentral:lncRNA from 1 species
CACUAGUCCUUCCUUCUUCAAAAGAGGCAUCAACUGAUUCUGUAACAUCCUAAUUUUCAAAACCCUUCAUAUGCAUUGCAUAUCAUAAGCAUCAUGUCACCCUUGCACUUAAUCACAUUUGAAAACCCUGAAAUUUACCCAGAAAACCCCAAUUCAAAAGUGCAUUUAUUUGUAUUUGGGCUUUGAUCUUGCUUUUGAGCAUUUUGUAUUUUAACCCAUGAAGGUUUUGGUAUAAAAAAGGAUUUAAUGCAUAUAUACAGCUAUCCCAUAAGUUUGCUUUUGAAAUUAUUUUGAAAAAUAAUUUAUUUUGACAACCUAAGGGCCCUAUAAGCCAUUUUAUAGACAAAUGUAUUUUUAAAUAUUUUAUUUUGAGGAAAUUCUUGUUCCAGAAGUUAGAUCAUGUGAAAAAAUGAUUUUACAAAUUUUGUUGCAAUUUAUUUGGAGUGAUUUGGAGCACUAAAUCAAAAGUUGUGUUCAAAAUCAGAAAAUAGAAAAAAGAAAAGAAAAACCGAAGCCGAACCGGACCGACCGGCCAAGCCCGCGCCUGAACCGCCCAGUCACUGACCGGUGGGACCCCCACCAUCGUCUUCCUCCAACUGCUACCCGAGAAGCCCGGCCACGCACGAGUCCAUGUUCGUCCGAGCCGCACACGACCCCCUCGCAUUUUCUCCGCACACGAGCCGCAAUCCCCGAAACCUUGCGCAUCAUCUUGAGCCCCUCUCUUUUCUCCUUCACUUCCCUCGAACCGUCUCCCCGAUUUCGCGCCGGUGAUUCACUAAUUUCUCGCCGAAGAUUCGCCCAGUCGCCGCCGUCUUCGCAAUGCCGCGGCCGCUCCGGUUAGUAUUCCGCGCCACCGACCCUCUUCCCGCC